AGUAAAAGUCGUAACAAGGUUUCCGUAGGUGAACCUGCGGAAGGAUCAUUACCGAGUGCGGGUUCUCACGAGCCCAACCUCCCACCCGUGCUUACCGUUACCGCGUUGCCUCGGCGGGCCCACUGGGGCCUGGCCCCGGUCGCCGGGGGGCUUCUGCCCCCGGGCCCGCGCCCGCCGACGCACCCUAGAACCCUGCCUGAAUAGUGAGUCUGAGUGAGAUUUGAAAUCAUUAAAACUUUCAACAACGGAUCUCUUGGUUCCGGCAUCGAUGAAGAACGCAGCGAAAUGCGAUAAGUAAUGUGAAUUGCAGAAUUCCGUGAAUCAUCGAAUCUUUGAACGCACAUUGCGCCCCCUGGCAUUCCGGGGGGCAUGCCUGUCCGAGCGUCAUUUCUGCCCUCCAGCACGGCUGGGUGUUGGGCGCUGUCCCCCCGGGGACACGCCCCAAAAGCAGUGGCGGCGCCGCGUCGGGUCCUCGAGCGUAUGGGGCUUUGUCACCCGCUCGGGAGGGACUCGGUCGGCGCUGGUCUUCCCUUUAGGCCGCCCUUCGGGGUGCGCCUCUUCCGGUUGACCUCGGAUCAGGUAGGGCUACCCGCUGAACUUAAGCAUAUCAAUAAGCGGAGGAAAAGAAACCAACAGGGAUUGCCCAGUAACG
rnacentral:rRNA from 1 species